AGCGAGACCUUCGGGUCUAGCGGCGGACGGGUGAGUAACGCGUGGGAAUGUGCCCUUCUCUACGGAAUAGUCCCGGGAAACUGGGUUUAAUACCGUAUACGCCCUUCGGGGGAAAGAUUUAUCGGAGAAGGAUCAGCCCGCGUCUGAUUAGGUAGUUGGUGGGGUAAUGGCCUACCAAGCCUACGAUCAGUAGCUGGUUUUAGAGGAUGAUCAGCCACACUGGGACUGAGACACGGCCCAGACUCCUACGGGAGGCAGCAGUGGGGAAUCUUAGACAAUGGGCGCAAGCCUGAUCUAGCCAUGCCGCGUGAGUGAUGAAGGCCUUAGGGUCGUAAAACUCUUUCGCCAGGGAUGAUAAUGACAGUACCUGGUAAAGAAGCCCCGGCUAACUCCGUGCCAGCAGCCGCGGUAAUACGGAGGGGGCUAGCGUUGUUCGGAAUUACUGGGCGUAAAGCGCGCGUAGGCGGGCUAUUAAGUCAGAGGUGAAAUCCCACGGCUCAACCGUGGAACUGCCUUUGAUACUGGUAGCCUUGAGUUCGAGAGAGGUGAGUGGAAUUCCGAGUGUAGAGGUGAAAUUCGUAGAUAUUCGGAGGAACACCAGUGGCGAAGGCGGCUCACUGGCUCGAUACUGACGCUGAGGUGCGAAAGUGUGGGGAGCAAACAGGAUUAGAUACCCUGGUAGUCCACACCGUAAACGAUGAAUGCCAGUCGUCGGCAAGCAUGCUUGUCGGUGACACACCUAACGGAUUAAGCAUUCCGCCUGGGGAGUACGGUCGCAAGAUUAAAACUCAAAGGAAUUG
rnacentral:rRNA from 1 species